rnacentral:tRNA from 1 species
GAGGGUGUGGCUCAAUCGGUAGAGUGCUUGUCCAGCAUACAGGAAGCGCUGGGUUCGAUCCCCGGCACUGUAU